AUUUUUUAAAACAUGAUUAAUCAGACACAUCUUUUUACUUACUUGCUAGAGAACACUGUGAUUGGGAAUAACAACUAAGCAUUGAUAUUUCUGCCUCGUUUUGAGUUGAAACAGGAGGGCUAGAAGAGAAUGGUAUGAAUAAAGGGGAAUGGGCUGGAAAGGUGCAUGUGAGACAGAGAAAGGUGAGAAAAGUCUGGGCCUUUGUUCUUGUCCAGAAUCUUACCAUGUAUUACAAGGAGGGAUAGUCGUUGGUUAAAAUGCUCCAUGACAACCUUGCUUAUGACCUGCUUUUCCUUAGAACCACUGCAGGGGUGAAAGACAGAACAUAGAAUUGUCACAUCGUUUCACAGAAGAGCCAUCUCCUAGUUAUCUUUUUGGUUACCUUUAAUAACCAAACAACCAAACCAAGAAUUUGGCAGAUAUUUUCACUAACUCUGAUUUCCUGGGGCCUGACUGGCUAAUGUAUGCAUUGACUCAUGAAAUAAAACAGAGCUUUUCAUCAGAAAGAAGAAGGGGCCAGGUGUGCUAGCUCAUUCCGGUAAUCCCAGCAUUUUGGGAGGCUAAGGCAGGAGGAUCACUUGAGACCAGGAGUUCAAGACCAGCCUGGGCAAAAUGGCAAGACCUCCUCUCUAAAAAGAUAUUUUUUAGAAAAUUAGCCAGAUAUGGGGGUUUAUGUUUGUAGUCUCAGCUACUCAGGAGGCUGAGGUGGGAGGAUCAUUUGAGCUCAGGAGUUUAAGGCUGCAGUGAACUAUGAUUACCCCCUCUGCACUCCAGCCUGGGUGACAAAGUGAGACCACAUUUCUAAGAAAAAAAGAAAAAAAGAAUUGAAGUUAAAAAUUUUAAAUCUUGAAGAAAGGAAAACACUAUAUUCUUCCUCCUGAUUUUUGACUCUUAACUAAAACUAAUCAUCAUCUCCCCACUUUUACUGUACGGAGGACUCUCCAAAUGGGUUAUAAUAUUGCCCUUUGCCCUAUCUUCCCUCUUUUCUACCCCUGUUACUUUCUGUGUCCAGCUUGGGACUGUCAAUUACAGAAAACAAGGGAAUACUGACACAUUAAAUCUUGAACACACCUCCCCCUUAGUAAAGCCCUUCUAUAAGGUAAUACUUGCUAGAAGAAAUAGAUCCCGAAAUGAGGAUGCCUCGAAAUCAACCAAGGCUUAUUUUUCACUCAAGCAGUAAUAGAAAACAAAUGGUUAGUGUUUUAAAACUAGUAUAAAGUUUUAAAAUUGAAAUUCUAACCCAGGGGCCAACAUACUAGACAGCUGUCAGACACCAGAGUGAAGGGGAUAUGGACUAUUGCAAAGGAAUCUUUAGAGUAGAUAUCUGAGACCAAGUUCCGUUAUCUUUGAGAGUCUGGUGAGAUGUUGAGAAUAGAAAAAUUUAGAAGAAUGGAGAGAAAGUUGGGGGUGGAUUUUGGGAGAUGCCUUCAGAAGACGCCCCUGCCAGGUGUGUUUGAAUCCCAGCUCUAGGAUAGGGUUAAUUAACUUUCUUCAACUUCAAG
rnacentral:lncRNA from 1 species